rnacentral:rRNA from 1 species
UACAGAGGUCUCGAGCGUUGUUCGGAUUCAUUGGGCGUAAAGGGUGCGUAGGCGGCGUGGCAAGUCUGAUGUGAAAUCCCGGGGCUCAACCCCGGAACUGCAUUGGAUACUGCCAUGCUAGAGUACUGGAGAGGAGAUUGGAAUUUACGGUGUAGCAGUGAAAUGCGUAGAUAUCGUAAGGAACACCAGUGGCGAAGGCGGCUCACUGGCCCGAUACUGACGCUGAGGCACGAAAGCGUGGGGAGCAAACAGG